ensembl:lncRNA
CAGGAUUUCAACUUGAGCUUUGAUCCCUUUCGCUCCUGCUGUGAGUAGUCCUCUUUGCUUGUAUAAGGCUCCGUGGACAUGAAGAGUAGCGAGAGCAUACCACAAGUCUGUGUUGGUAUUGACUCGCUGCUCUCAGCUGAGUUCCAGGGCCCUGAUUAAUGCCCAUAAUUCCACUCUCUUCACUGACCAUCCUUGAGGAAGUGCCUCUCCUUCCACUUCAGAGUCAGACACUACAGCAUACCCAGCCAUCUUCUUUCUGUUUUCCAUGUAGCUGCUACCAUCAGUAUAUAGGACCAGGUCUGGGUUGUGGAGUGGCUUGUCAGUCAGGUCUGGUCUAUUAGAAAAUACUUCAUCUAGUAAUUCCAAGCAGUCGUGUUCCAAGGGCCCUGCUUUUUUUGGCAGAAAGAAGUUCGUACUUCUUUGGUUUGGUUUUAGAGUUCAUACAGCUUGCAGUUUUACCGUGGAUGUUCUCAUAGUAACCUUGAUACUGAGUCAUCCGUGCAUGUGUGAGCCAGUGGUGGCCUCUGCUAUCUAUCAGGGUUACAACUGAGUGUAUGACCUUAACAUUGAGGUUUUGCCCCAACAUUAAUUUGUCAGCCUCCCUCACUAGCAAGGUAGUGGCUGCUGCUGCUUGGAGGUAGGGUGGCCAUCUAUUUAGACAAGUAGGCCACUGGCCUUUGCCAAGGCCUGAAUUUUUGGGUCAAGACUCCCAAGGCCAUUUUGUACUUUUCAUGACCACAGAGAUUGAGCUCUCUGGUUACAUUGGGAAGUUCUAGGGCUGAGGCAUUGGAGACUUCGGCCUUAAUUGUUUGAAAUGCCACCUCUUGGCUCCCAUUCAAAGGGAGCCUUUUCUUCUCCUUUCAGGGCCUCAUAUAGGGUUCUGGCCAGGUCUGAACAUCCAGGGAUCCAUAUCCUGCAGAAUGCUGCUGUUCCCAGGAGCUCAUGGACCUUCUGGCGAGUGGUAGGGGGAGGGUUGGCGCAAACGGCUUGUUUCCUUUCAGUUCCCAGCAUUUGCUGGCUCCAGAUGAUGUUAAAACCUAGAUAUUUGACUUGUCUUUUACAGAUUUGUGCAUUUUUCUCUGAUACCUGGUACCCAGCUUCCGUUAACAAGGAGACGAGGGCCAUUAUUCCUUCUAGGCAUUGAGCCUGUGUUGUGCUCAAUGACCUAUUUCAGCAGGACACAGUCUUACUCCUGUCCAGGAAAUUGCAUGAAGUCUGUGGCCAAAGCUCCACUGAAGAGAGUAGGGGAGUUCUUGAAACCCUGAGGAGGCCUCAUCCAAGAGAGCUGUUCCUUAUCUCCCAUGUGUGGGUUUUCCCAUUCAGGGGCAAAUAGUGGUUGGCUGACAGGUGCAAGCUGGAGGCAGAAUAAGGCACCUUUCAAGUGAGAGCAAGUAAACCAUUCAGCUGUGGAAGGGAUCGGUCCUAGUAGAGUGUAUGGUUUAGGCACUGCAGGGAGCAGAGUAAUUGUUGCCUCGUUUACAACUCUUUAGGUUCUGUAUGGUAGUAAUGUGUCCCUGGCUUCUUCACAGGUAGUAGUGGGAUGUUCCAGGGUGACUGGCAUUUCAUCAGAAGUCCGUGUUGGAGUAGUCUGUCUAAAUGAGCCUGGAUUCCCAGCCGGGCCUACCGGGGAAUUGGAUUCUUUUCUGUAGUUUUAUGGGCUGAGCUCCUGGUUUCAGAUCCAUCAGGAUGGGACCAAGGGGUUUUGCCAAACCCGGGGCAUUUUCCUUGGCCCAAACUGGUGGGUACUUAGUCUCUUAUUCUGGAGGAAUGGUCCCUUCUCCUGAAAGGGAGAAAUACAGGCGCCAUUCUUCUUCUCACCUUACAGCAAGAGUCAUAAUCAAGGAGGAAUGUGGGCUUGCUAGCUUUAGGAGAGGUUACCCAUCAGCAGAAAAAUCUGGUCCCCCAUUUUAGCAAGCAGGUCUCUUCCCAUCAAGGGAAUAGAGCAGGCGGGCAGGUACAGGAAUUUGCGCACUACCUCAUGGCCCCUCAGUCAGCAUUGUUGAAGACUGCAAAACGGCCUGCAGGUCUGGGUGCCUGUGGGUCUGGGCGCCUGUGCCCUGAUGAUGGUAGUUUCCCGAUAAGGGGACUCUCUCCUGGGUGACCACGGAAUGCUCAGCACCUGUGUCCACCGUAAAGUCCACUGGAUGGCCCCCUACUUGAAUUCUGACCAUGGGCUCUCAGGGACCCAGUUGGAGAGAGUCCAGUCCCCUCUAGUUGGAUUCUGCUUGAGCUAGCCCGAUCAGAUUAGUGCCAGGUGGCUUGGGUUAAUACUGGCUCAGCGGGCUUGCUGCUUUGGUUUUCUUCUCAGGGUGACUGGGGCACUCACUUUUCCAGUGCCCCUUUUCCUUGAAAUAAGCACACUGAUCGUGGCUGAGGGGAAUUAUCUCUUUCAGAUCUGGCCCCUUGCCUUGCGGUGUGGUCCCAGGGAUGCACGCUUUGAAAGGGCAGCUGCCAAGGAUGUCCGAUUGGGCCUGUCCCUCAAAGGCUGAAUUUAUCAUCCGUUGAUUUUCACUGGUUUCAGGAUCAAAAGGGGUGAAAACCCAGAAGGUCUCACACAGCCUUUCGUAGAAAUCGGCCAGGCUUUCAUCUGGAUCAUGUAGCACCUUAGUGGUCUUAGCCAUGUUAGCAGGCUUCUUAGCCCCGCCUUUUACACUUUGUAGGAGAGAGGGCCUGUGAAUCUCUCUCCAACUGGUUUCUCCCCGCCUCUGCAUUGAGGUGCCAGCAAGUCUCUUCCUCUGGGAAGUUCUCCCAAGCCCAGUUCUCCACAUCUAAUUGGCCGCCUGGGGCAUUGGCCUGGAGCCAUUUUCUAGCCUUUGUCAUGACUCAUCCCCAUUCCUCUGUAUUGAAUAGGGUGCAGGCAGUUUCCCCAGGUGGGGCGGUGGGUCUGGUAGAUGGAUUCUAAGAGACCAAUCACCGCUUGGGGCUUUUCAGAGUAUGAGGGGGUGUGCUGUUUCCAGUUAAGGAGAUCAGUCAUGGAAAAAGGCUGGUAGUCAAAAAUGGAUCAACAGAGCAGAAACUGUGAGCUUGUGUAUGUCUCUUGAUGUAAUUGUAGAUUUGUGGGACCACUGUCCGGAGAUGUCACUGGCCAUCCUUUCCUGGUUCCUGUUUUGGACAGGGGCGCCACAGACAUACACUGACCAGGCUCCCCGAGCCUUUGGAUGCCUCAUGCCUCCUCUUCUUGUUGCUCCAAGUCUCAUGUUCUGUCACCUUCCUCUCUGUGUCUGAUGUGAGCCAGGCACAUGCACACACACAGAAAGACACGCAAACACAGGCGACAUAAGCAUACCUGUGUAAACACACACAAGGAAGGCACAGAGACAAACAGGGAACACAGGUGUUCCAGUAGCUGAGGACGCCUGUGUCCAGCAAUAUGGGAGAUGGUGUCAGUAGGCGCCGUGUCCUGCCCUUUUGGGAUCCCUGUCCAUUUCUUCCCCCAGCUGUUCAGUAUUAUCACCAGCCAGCCUUAAGUCGUCUCUGACUUUGUGGUGGUGAUGAGAGGCCAAUCAGUGGAUGUGGAAAUUCACAGAAGACCCCAAAGUCAGCACAAAAGUACCAAGGGACAGUGGAGAGAAACCCAUUCCAACUGGUGGUGCUUUCCAGGAGGAAGGUCUGGACUUAAGGGCCCAGGGGAAUCUCAAACUCAGUGAGCAGCAAGAGGCCUGGGGGUGGCUCAACCUGGGGAAAGAUGAUUCUGACUAAGGUGCUUGAUUCACCCUGCCUCUAUCAGAAUCACCUAGGAUUCUCAUCUUGUAAUCACAGCUUCUUUGACUGAGGCCUGGACACAUGAAGUCCCCAAGCCUCCAGUCUCAGCCUGUCACUUGCUACCAGUAUGACCUGAAUCCAAGCUCCACAUCCAACCUGCAUGAGCCUAAGCAUCCCCAUUUGGGAAAGGAGAGUGUCCCAGCCUCUAUGUGGCUGUCCCUUUAAGGCCCAACUUUGAUUCCCUCACAACCUGUGUUUCUGUCAGUAACCUCUCAUGGCAGGAUCUACCUCCUUGGGAAGUACUGCAGCAGGUCGAGUCACAGGACUUUGCUGAUUAUCUGCUGGAGGCAUGAACAAGGUCAGCAUGGGGCUCACCAGGACCUGAACCCUUCGUGAACAGCGAAAAAUUCCAACACAAAUCGCCAAUUCUGCGAAGGCUUAGAGCAACCCCAUCUCAGCAAUCCUGUGUGAUCCUGGGCUGUUGUGAUCCAAUAACCAGCUGAGGAAUUUAAAGCUGCUGGUUUCCAGCCUGCAGCUUGGAGCUCCCCAUUUAUAAACCCAGAACCAGUGGGCUGGAGUGGAAUGACAGGGCAUAUACCCUGGAGGAAACAGGCGAGGCAGGGAAGGAUCGCACAGGAGGAGCAUCGACUCCCUUCCCCACCCACCCACACCACCCUGGGAGACAGGUUGUAUCAGUGAUAUUAAGGUAGUACUCCUUAACGAUCAGUGUGUUCCUAAAGUAGGGUUUAUUCCGAAAAGCAACUUAGCAGCAUGCAGCGGGACCAGGGAUGCCUCAGUUUCUGCACCUGCCAAGUUUCUGGAGUCCGUAGUUUGCCUGCAGGGCAGGCAUCAACAGCUUCUGCUUCUCCACUCCAAGUGCUCACACCACAUAAGAUGAUCCCCCACUUCCCUCCCCAGCCCCCUCUACCCACCUGUCCUCAUUCUCCCUCACUGACCUUCAAAUCAAUCAUGUAGCUAAGUAAGACUUCAUCUUGUUCACUGAUCAUGACGUAUAGUUGGUGGUUGUUCACAAUCCGCUGCAGGUAAAGGAUCCAGUCAUUCCACAUGCCGGGCCAGGUAGAUCCAGAAGCGACAGGGCUAGUCUGGGAAGAAACAAGUGAGAGGGUAAGAGGCAGGGAGGCUAGGGGCCUGCCAAUGGAGGAAAUAGGCUGCAAGUGUCAGACAUUUUUCUCUCUUAAGGAGCAGGAGGAAACAAACUACAAGUGUCAGAUUUUUUCUGUAUAGAAAAUUAAAAGGUUUCUUUUAAAAUUCUGUGUUGCCAUGAUGACACCUGUUUCCACCUGAACUUAACUUUUCUCAAACCUUGAGCUAACCUCUGUUUUUCUUAUGGAAAUGUUUUUCUUAAGCUAUGUUAAUGAACUGUGUAUUUACACUUGACUCUCUUUCUUCAUGUUUGUUCCACCUAAGGCUCAGAAGGGUGAAUGCCUCAACAAACAAGUAUGUUUUACUCAUACAAUUUUUCUCCUAAUCUGUGCUAAUAAGACUAUGUAUUUGCUUGGAAACCUGCCUUUCUUCAAGAUUCAUGUCAAUUGUUUUAUGGCCCAGGAUGACUCACCUUGUGCCAAUGUUAUCUCAAGACACAUGUUGUGGGUGAGGGGCCUGGUGCCACUCUCUGUGUGUUGAAACAUUUCCUUUGUCUAAUUAGCAGCCUGCUAUUCAGUAUAUAACUUCCUGCUAAAGACUAGCAGGGUCACUCUUUCUGCCCUCUUCUGAUAUCUAUGUCAGAAUCUUACUCUAUCUCUUUUAUACUUUAAUAAAACUUGAUUACACAAAAGCUCUGAGCAAACAAGCCUUGUCACUGGCCCCGGAUUGAAUUCCUCUCCUCCCCAGGCCAAGAAUCCCAACGUCUUUCACGGCUGAGCAACAACCUUUCACAGGGACACUGGAACAGGCCUCUGCAAGCGCUCUGGGCACUGACGCUUGCCUGCCCACCCCACUGAUGACCCAGCCUGUGCCAUAACAUCAGACAUGCUCACUGCUCUCGGUCCCCUGUGGUCUUCAGCAUCUGAAGUUGUCCGGAUUUGCAAAGGGAGGGUCUGAUACUGACUACUUCUGAUCUCUUGACUGGCUGGUGUGUGCUGAGUAGUGGCAUGUCACUGCUGAGAAUGUCAGAAACUGCAGUCCCUUUGACACACCUUGUCUGUCGACAAGUGUGUCUGUUGUGUGGGGGUAUGUGUGUGUGUGUGUUUCUCAAGAAAGCCCUGGGUCUCUGACCUGCUCCCUGUCUUCACAAGGGUGUGUCUGGAGUCAUUUGGCACUCACAGUGUACCAGACAGCAGCCCCUUCCAUCUCCACCUUGGGUGUGGAAAACCUCCUGCUUCUGCACGGCACUAGUGGGAACAACUACAGGGGCUCUGACUGACAAGGAGGGGUUGUGGGACUCGCACUGUCUCUCUUACUUCCCGGGAUUAUCCACAAAUACGUAAUAACUCUCUGGGAAUGCCACUCUGGCCUAAUGUUUCUGGGCACUUCUGAUAUAGAAUCCCCACCCCCGGGUACUGCUCCUCUUCAGAUGCAGGCCAAAAGGUGUCACCCAGCGUCACAGCUCAGACACCUACAGGUGUUUUGGCCAUGCCCGAAUUAUUCUCCUGCUGUAUCUUUGGACCUCCACACCCCCAGCACUCAGUUCCCUUGGCCACCCCUCACCUUGCCUGUGCCCUUGUCCCCACCUCUAUUCCUGCUCCUGGUCCUUCUCCUCCUGAGCAGCUGACUCCAAGGAACAGCAGUCAGGAUAGGGCUUGGGCCCAGAAGCCUGUGAUGCCUUGGUGGAUGACGUGUCUCUGAGCCAGGUGACCCUUCCUCCUCUGAUGGUUG